rnacentral:rRNA from 1 species
CCUACGGGAGGCUGCAGUGAGUAAUAUUGGUCAAUGGGCGAGAGCCUGAACCAGCCAAGUCGCGUGAGGGAGUACUGCCCUAUGGGUUGUAAACCUCUUUUGUCGGGGAGCAAAAGCCGGACGUGUCCGGCUGUGAGAUUAACCGAAGAAAAAGCAGCGGCUAAUUCCGUGCCAGCAGCCGCGGUAAUGCGGAGGAUGCGAGCGUUAUCCGGAUUUGUUGGGUUUAAAGGGUGCGCAGGCGGAUUUUUAAGUCAGCGGUAAAAUCGUGGGGCUCAACCCCAACCAGCAGUUGAAACUGGGGAUCUAGAGUGUGCGAGAGGGAUGCGGAAUGCGUGGGGUAGCGGUGAAAUGCAUAGAUAUCACGCAGAACCCCGAUUGCGAAGGCAGCAUACCGGUGCACAACUGACGCUCAGGCACGAAAGCGUGGGUAUCGAACAGGAUUAGAUACCCCAGUAGUC